GGCUUUCUGGUGCUCACCACAGGCUGUGUUCUUACAAAAAGAGGUGGCAAAGUAAACCCACUCCAUAUACACCUCAGUUCAUGUCUGGUGCCUAGUCUAUAUUGUGAAUAGGGAGAGACAUGG
rnacentral:snoRNA from 1 species